rnacentral:rRNA from 1 species
AUUGAACGCUGGCGGCAUGCUUUACACAUGCAAGUCGAACGGUAACAGGCCUUCGGGCGCUGACGAGUGGCGAACGGGUGAGUAAUGCAUCGGAACGUGCCCAGUCGUGGGGGAUAACGCAGCGAAAGCUGUGCUAAUACCGCAUACGAUCUGUGGAUGAAAGAGGGGGACCUUCGGGCCUCGCGCGAUUGGAGCGGCCGAUGUCAGAUUAGGUAGUUGGUGGGGUAAAGGCCCACCAAGCCGACGAUCUGUAGCUGGUCUGAGAGGACGACCAGCCACACUGGGACUGAGACACGGCCCAGACUCCUACGGGAGGCAGCAGUGGGGAAUUUUGGACAAUGGGCGCAAGUCUGAUCCAGCAAUGCCGCGUGCAGGAAGAAGGCCUUCGGGUUGUAAACUGCUUUUGUACGGAGCGAAAAGGCUCCCUCUAAUACAGGGGGCUCAUGACGGUACCGUAAGAAUAAGCACCGGCUAACUACGUGCCAGCCGCCGCGGUAA